GACAUUUCACUAAAAAACUUCGUGAUUUUAAUAUAUUACAAUAUGUUUACCUUGAAAAUGGUAAUUACAAUUAGAUUUGAUUUUGUAGUUCUAUAAAUACGUGAUCGAUUUUUAUGCUAGUUAUUAGGUAAUAGAUGCUAAGUGUGAGACUAGAAAAAAAUAUAAGAAAUCAAAAAUAGUAUGUUUAAGCUAAUUCAGUGGCUGAGAAUCGGGGCCUCGAGCCUGGUUAUACGGAGUCUCGAGGUCGAGCUCGGUAACAAGUUAUGGGCAGGUGGUAGAGGACUAACAACUUUGGGAGCCUUGAUGAAGGCUUUUUAUGAUCAAAUGAGCAAUAAAUGAAGAACGAUUCAUAGAACACAAUAAAUAUAAUAGUGAAAUCAAGAGAAGAUGUUUAAGUUAGAGAGUAGAGAAUUUUCUUGUAUGGAAUGUUGUGAGUAAUGUUAUAUUUUCUCUUAUCCGUCCUUACAAGUGCAUUUAUUGAAAAGAUAUAUGGCUGGUACAACCAUUUAAUACCACGGUACGGGCUUAAACUAGCUUAAUAAAUUUGGCCAGCUUUAGUCAUGUGCCUUGGGAAUCUCCCACUCGUUCAUCAUUGCCGUCAGUUUACUCUGCCGGGAGUUCAAGCAUAUAGGACCGUUGGGGUCGAGCCCCGAGCUAAACUUCGAGCAUUUUGGGAGCGGUAUUUAUGACGUGCAUCAACAGUCACAAAAUCGAACCUUCUGAUAUUAGCCAUGUACAGAUAGUUCCCGUGUUUCUUAGAUUAAAAUGAUAAGAAAUGAUUUUGACAAUUAUCCCCUCGAGCCUCUUGUGAUGACAUCAUGCUUAUGACGUAAGAUUUUGUGAUAACUGAGAUGUCCUAUCGAUACACAAAAGGUGUUCUGUCGUUUUCCUUAUCUCCUGUUGAAGGUACUUCGAGGGAUGUUCGAGGCCAGGGGUAGCCUAAGCCACGUGAGUUGUCGAGUAAUUAUAUUCCCAUCGGGAGUGUUUCUACUGGGGUCAAUGAGACCAUGCUAGUAGAUGUGCGCUCAACCUUUGAGGAGGCUCAGAUACUUAAUU
rnacentral:lncRNA from 1 species